UACAGAGGGUGCGAGCGUUGUCCGGAAUCACUGGGCGUAAAGGGCGCGUAGGUGGCGCCGCAAGUCCAUGGUGAAAGCUCGAUGCUCAACCUCGGAACUGCCUUCGAUACUGCGGGUCUCGAGUCCGGGAGAGGUGAGUGGAAUUCCUAGUGUAGAGGUGAAAUUCGUAGAUAUUCGGAAGAACACCAGUGGCGAAGGCGGCUCACUGGCCCGAUACUGACGCUGAGGCACGAAAGCGUGGGGAGCGAACAGG
rnacentral:rRNA from 1 species